CUUAAUAUAUUUUUAUUUUAGUGGUGCACCGAUGUUCCAAAAAUUUUAGUUUCGCCAACUUGAACCAGUGUACCAACGCAGUAGUUUUUGUGUACUUAGGAGGCAAUAAAAUAAGUACACAUGUAUAUAUACAUGAAAACUUUCGAAGUUAACGUAUGCACAUGCCGCUCGUCUCGUUUCAAUGCUGAUACAAGCCCAAGUUAGGAUUGGCCCGGUCCAUAUUUCUAUACACAGGGUUUUCCCGAAACAUGAAUCUGCAAUUUUGUAGAUCUAACAGUUACUUGCUUAGCAGGAGAGCUAAGAAAACUGCAGUGGAAGGCAGAGAUUAUGUUGAUUUCUCCUCUCCUGCGCCACCUGUUGGAAUUGAAGCUACACAAAAUAAAGACGAUGAGGAGUUUGAAUCAAGAAAAUCGAUUGAGGAAGAGGUAGUGGUAGCUUUGGAAAAUGAGAGCAUCACUAUUGUCGGAAUAUGUGGUAUGGACGGCGUAGGAAAGAUAACAUUUAUAUAGCAUAGAAUUCUCGAACAAGUUAUAGAAAGGAAUUAAGAAUAGCAUAGAACUCUCGGACAAGCUUCGGCAAUGUUCUUGUAAUCGCUCGAGAAGGGAUUUGCAAUCACAUAGAAGGGAAGGUGAUGAAAACCACUCCAGGAGGCAAGGUUCUAUUGGGAAAGGGCGAGGAAAAGGACUUACAAACUUUACCAUGUCUUCUAGUCAAGGAAUGGGAGUAAUACGUAAGAAAUUCAUGGUCUUGAGAACGAGUAUGUGCAAGUUCAUACUCCAUUUUCUUCAUUGACUAGUCAAGUUAAGCAAUGCACUAAAGAGGUUGAAACAACACUGGGAAGGGACCAGGAGAAGGACUUAAAAACUUUACCAUGUCUACGUAAGAAAGAACUCCAUGGUUCUUGAGAACGAGUAUAUGCAAGUUCAUACUUCAUUUUCUUCAUUGACUAAUCAAGUUAAGCAAUGCACCAAAGAGGUGCUUUUGGGAAGGGACCAGAAGAAGGAAUUAAAAACUUUACCAUGUCUUCUAGUCAAGGAAUGGGAGCGAUACGUAAGAACUCCAUGGUUCUUGAGAACGAGUAUAUGCAAGUUCAUACUCCAUUUUCUCCAUUGACUAAUCAAGUUAAACAAUGCACCAAAGAGGGGUUUCAAAGAAUAAUGUGGGAUCAAAUCAAGGACUGCGAUCAAUGGAUAAUAAUCCUCUGAUUCUUGAGAAGAUCACGGCAGAAGAGGAAUUAGGAGAAGAAAUGACUAAUGAGUUCUUAUUUCCCGGUUAGCAGGAGUUUAGCAAGCUAUUGAUGCAUUUCUUUUUGAAGAAGCACGGUCGAGAGUUUCCGUUUCUUAGAGAAGUCAACAUUAAAAGCUGUACUGAAAUGAAGACGUUUCUCCUAAGAUCCGAGAGUAUGUCGAGUCUGAGUAAUGGAGGAAAAAAAUCUAAGAUGCUUAGGCCAAGAUUAUCUAAAUAAAACGGUAUAGAAGAUCUUCAAUUCUAAGGUUUGUCUCGUAUCUCUGUAUAACUAAAUUAUAUUUUUCUGGAGCAUUAAUACAUCCUGCUUUAGUGUUGUGUAACAUGUUCUUUAACUUGUAAAUUCACUUAUUCAUUUAGUUAUUUCUUCUACUUGCCCAAAUGUAUCCAGUUAGAAAUAUGAAGCAUCAAAAUUGUACUUUCUAGGCAAGUCAUCCCUUUCUUGUUGCAAUCUCUUCUACCAGGGUCCAGGAACAAGAAGUUAGUGAUGACGACGAAUCCAAAACUGGUGGGUAUUCCUCUCAUGGUAGCUAGUCUCAGAUGUUCUUAGAGUAGCCAAAAAAAUAUAUGAUCGUUUUUCAAAUUUUCGCUGCGUGGGACUCAACUCUCCCCUUCUAUACUAUCUCAAGCCCCACCUAAUCAGUGCUAAUAGAAGCUUCAAGCCUGAGUUAUAAUCAGUGCUAAUAGGAGCAACCAUCAGAAGAAGUAAUAGUCAAGCCAAACAGGAAGUGAACCGCAACCAUCCAUUACGAGAGAGAUUCAAACAUCGGAUGUGCUAUUUUAUGUCACUCGAUGACUUGAUUGGGACAUUCUCGUUUUAAUACGUGAUGAUGGUGAUGAAUCCUUAUAAUAUAUUGGCAGAAUCUAUUCGAUUGUUCUCUUGGUUCACUUGGUAUGUAUAGGCAGAAUAUGUUUGGAAGUAAAUGGGGUCAGUGAUCCCCUCCCAUCCAUGUAGGUCUGUGGUCCGCCUCUGGAGUAUUAUAUUAGGAGGAUAAUGCAACUAUGCAAGUAUCCUUUCAUUUUAUGUAAUGGCCAAAAUAGAAUUAUUUUCCUUAUGAGCUUCCCAGAACGAAGAAGUGGGAUGAAUGCUUGUUUUGUUGAUGUUGAUUGGUCUGUCUAUCCGAGGAUGAAAUGACACUUGUUGUGAGACAAUUUGACUGAUCUUUGAAGCUAAAUUAGACUAUAUCAAUUCAAUAUUCUAAGAUUGAAAUUCAUUUACUACUUAAAAACUAUACAAAAAGUACUAUAAGUUGUAAUUUCUCUCCUGCUAAUGUGAUGGAAAAAAAUACAAUUUAAAAUGUUGUCAAGAUUUUACAUAGUUUGAAUUUCAAAAAGUGAGAAGUGUCGCAUAAAUUGGACAGAGGGGUGUCAUUUCAUAAUGCAUAACUAGUAUCCUUUCGUUUUCUCAAAGUAAAUUUUGGUUCCUUCUCUAACAGUUCUGUCUAUGUAAUGGUUUGGCCAUGAUAGAAUUCUUUUCGUUAUGAGCUUGCCAAAAGGAACAAUGGCUAAAUCAAACAUUGUUCAUCAUAGCACCAAGUCCUUAUGCAAUUUUUAUGAAGGUUGAAAUUAUGCUUUUCUUCCCAAGUUCUGUAUAAAGAAAAAUAUGGUCCAAUUUGUCACAUUACCAUUCUUGUCACUCGUGUUGGUUAUAAUGUGAACAACUUGUUAGGAGGUCAUUUUUUGCAAAUUGUUGGUAAAUUUGUUCCCCUGCGUAAUCUUAAAAAUUAGCAGUGAUCAACAAUUGCUUUUCCUAUUUAUUAGAUUUGCACUACUUUUAAGACUUUUCUACUUUUUAGCCACUAUCCACUUCUCACUAUAUAAUGCACAUCUCAAAUAAAUCUCUGUGAAUAUAUUGCUCCAAAGAAAAUAACUGUUUUGUUUGGAAACUGAAUUAGAAUUGAUGUCCUUAGAAUUACAUAGCUUGAUAAUUAAUAAAUAUCAUAGCCUAUUAAUUUGUCAAAGUAUUUUUGCAACAGUAUGUUUGGACGGUAAAAUUACAAUUGAUUUAUUUAGAGCUACAUUACAAUAAUUUUACUUAUUUUGUCUAAUUACACUGAAUAUGUUGUUGUUGUUAGAAUAAUUUUUUAGUUUACUUUUGAAGGUAAAUUUUACAAGUUUGAAUAAUUCCUUUCUAUUUUAAACUCAUAAAUUUUCUAUCUUUUUCAAGUAAAAUAUGCUUCAAAUACAACUUCAUCACAUAUCAUUUUUCAACUUUAAUCUCAACCUUAAAAAAACUUUUAAAAAAAAAAAAAAAAAAACAAUUCUAACUAAAUUUAUGCGGAAAGCCCCACUAAAAAAAGCAGGUAAAAAAAAACAAAAGAAGAGAAAAGGGAGGUUUCGUUUACUCUGGUAAACUAGGAGAUAUCUUAUCUUAGUGGGAAAAGUCAUAGAUGGCUUGAUCCAUGUGCAAGAAAUUGGGUAUUUGUUUUAUAACAGCAACACCAGAUCUCUUGAUAAUGAAUCUGGCUAGCAAUUCAGGUUGAAAGAGGUUGUUUGUAUGGUGGUGUCCAAAUUUGACGUUGCUUACUUGCUGAGCAUGCGGAGAUCUAAGAGAAUUGCACUGGAUGUACUUGAUGAACAUGAAAGUGAAGUGGAUGAGGAGUUUGAAUCAAAGAUAAUUGAAGGAGGAAGAGGUCAUGGCAGAUAUGAGAGAUGAGAGUGCUACUAUGAUUGAGAUAUUUGGUAUGGGUGGAGUUGGAAAGACAAUACUGGUUAGAUUUUGGAUAAAGGAUUAAAAGAGAGAGGCUGUUCUGGGAGAAUGUCCUUAAACCAUUAGAAAGAUCAAAUCGAAAAAUAUCUUCUAAAGUGCUUAUUUGGUCUAGUAGCUGUUUGUUCCAUCAGCUCCGUAAAAACAACGCGCACGACAUCUUGAUAAUGAACAUGAUUUGGCUAGACAUUCAGGUUGAAAGAGGUUGUUUCUAUGGUUGGUGUCCAAAUUUGAAGUUGCCUUACUAGCUACGAAGGCAGAGAUCUUAGAAAAUUGCACUGAAUGUGCUUGAUGAACUUCAAAAGUGGAUGAGGAGUUUGAAUCAAGAAAAUUGAAGGAGAAAGAGGUCAUGGCAGAUUUGAGAGAUAGGAAUGUUACUAUUGUUGAGAUAUUUGGUAUGGGUGCAGUUGGAAAGAAAAUACGUGUUGAAAAAACCCAGAUAAAGGGUUAAAAAAGGAGAGGUUGUUGGAGGAGAUUGUUGUAGCAAAUGUCAGUCAACAAUCAGACUUAAAAAGAAUUCAGGGUGAGAUCGGAUGAAGAUUCCGGUUGACAUUACAAGAGAACGGGUUACAGAGAUUAGCUGUGUUCGAAAUUAAUGGGUCAGUUUAGCUGUGUUCGAGAUUAAUGGGUCAGUAUAAAUAACUUAGGAUUUCCAAUGGUAGCAACCACAACUAUCGAUGCAAAGUGACAUUUCUUGGAGUUGGUUUCAACAACCAAGCGGAGGUUCAGGCGGCUCUAAUUGGCAUUACUUGGUAUAGUAGAGUGAAUUAGAAGUUGAUUCUGAACUUCUAGUCAAGUAGCUCAAACGCGAUAUUACACCACCUUGGAGCAUUUGUAGGUACGCUGAGGAGCUAAAGGAUCUCAUUAGUUUACUUGAUUGCUUCAGAUGUUUUCACAUAUACGGGGAGGCGAACUUUCAGGCAGAUACUCUAUCUAAGCAUAACAUGGAUUUUUUAAUUUUUUUGGACAGAAAGCCGGUAAUUCAAUUGACAACCACUUGCAAUUAUUAUUAUUGCGGGAGCGCUAAAGUCUCAACAUUAAAGAUUGUUACAACAGAGGAGUUAGGAAAAUAGACCAAUCGAAUUAUGUUAGAGUUGAGCUGAGGGACUAUCUAAAAUAGUCUCUAGAUAUCCCUUGACCUUCACAACACAGGGUAAGGCUGCGUACACGCCACCCUCUCCAAACCCCAAUUAUGGAUACGCUGGGUAUGUUGUUGUAAUUAUGUUUAGAGUUUUGGAAUGUGGAAGCAACACUUGAAUGGAUUUCACCAGAGGAACUACAUAUUGUGAAAGUAGAACAUUUAAAAUUACUCUGCCUUUAGUGAGCUGAAAUCCUAAUCGUAAUUGAUUGAUUUGACACACUUAUUGAAGAUCCACAGUCAAAACAAUAUUUUAUUCCCUAAUUCGGAAUAUCUGUUUUGCUUGUCUUUGGCUGGGAGUAGUUCGUCGAACUUGAAGACUUGACAGUAGCUUGCUCUGAUGAUGAAGAAGAUGAGAUGUUGGAAUACACAUAUCGAAUCAGAAGGGAAGAUGGUCCAAGUAAUCAAGUUCACCAAUUUAUAUGAAUUGGAAAUUGAAUCUCUGAGAUACCUCACUCACUUUGCAAUGACGCUAUUGAGGGCAUUGAGUUCCCUCAGUUCAAAAAUUUUUGGCCUAUGGCUAGAAAUAGAAUGUUAAAAGGCAAUUCUGGUUCCGACUCAAAUCCUCUAUUUUAUGAAAAGGUUUAUUGUCCCAGGCUGGAACAGCUAAUGUUCAAUUGGCUACUUCAGCAAAAUUGAAAUAUUGGAAGUGAUCGAGUGUGGCAUACUGGGAAACGUGAUGUCUCCAUCAGUGGCAAGAUAUGUUCUGAAUCUCCAAGCAUUGCGGAUAGGAAACUGUCCAUUGAUGGAAGAAAUGAUCAUGGAAGAGUAACUAGGAGAAGAAAUGACUAACAUGUCCUUAUUUCCCCAAUUGGAAGAACUGGAGUUACCAAAACUUGAUGCAUUUCUUUCUGAUGAAGCAUGCUCUAGAAUUUCCAUUUCUUAGCCAUUUUGAAAUGAAGACGUUUGUCCUAGGAUCUGUGAGUACACCAAAUUUGAAAUGGUUGAUCGUAAAAAAAAGUCAAAGAUGCUGAGGCGAAUGAUGAUCUCAAUAAUUCAAUUUUAAGGUUUGUCUUGUGCUGUUGUAUAACUAAUUAAAGCUAGUGGAUAUUCCUUUUCUGUGUUUAAUAUUUCUAUGCAUUUUAUGUAGUGGCUUAGCCAAAACAGAAUUCUUUUCCUUAUGAGCUUCCCAAAAUGAAAAUGGCUAAAUCAAACAUUGGUCAUUGUUGCACCAAGUCCUUAUGCAAAUUUUAUGAAGGUCGAUGAUAUGCUUUUCUUCCCUAGUUCUGGAAAACAAAAAAAUAUGGUCCAACUUCUUGAUAGAGCUUGCGGAGAUUAAACUGAACUUCUUGAGAGAGGUUGCGAAGAUUAAACUGGUGGUCAUGCUUCUUGAAUCGAGAAAGGAACAACAAGCUAGCGAUGACGACGAAUAUGAAGCUAGUGAUGUCUACGGGUCCAAAACUAGCGGGUGUUCCUCUCAUGGUAGCUAGUCUCAGAUGGAAGCUAAGUGAUCUCUACGAAUCCAAAACUAGUGGGUUUUCCUCUCGUGGUAUCUAGUCUCAGAUGUUCUUUGAGUGCCUGGAGAAAUAGUUUUUUAAGGUUUCGCUGGAUGAGACUCUUAACACUCUAUAAUAUUACAUAUCUCACCUCAAGCCCGAGUUAUAGGAUCAACCAUCCGAAGAAGGAUAAGUCAAGCCAAACAGGAAGCGAACUGAAAGCGGGUGAAGGCUAGCUUCAAGAGAACAGUUACCAUCCAUUGCGAGAGAGAUCCCAAUUUCGGAUAUGUUGUUUUAUGUCUCUCAAUGACUUGAUUGGGACAUUCUUGUUUUAAUCCUUCUAACAUGUUGGCAGAAUCUUCAAUUGUUCUCUCGUUACACUAGAUAUAUGCACAGAAUUUGUUCCGAAUUAAACGGGGUCAGUGACCCCCUCCCAACCAUGUAGGUCUGUGGUCCGCCUCUGUAGUAUUAUAUGAGGUGAAUACUGCAAGUUUAUGCAUUUUACGUAAUGGCCUUGGCCAAAAUAGAACUCUUUUCCAUAUGAGCUUUCUAAAAUGAAGAAUGACUAAAUCAAACAUUGUA